CUUCCUCACCAAAAAAGAGGAGGAUUGGCAGAUGUUAGCUCAGAGCUAGUCUUCCUCAAAAAAAAAAAAAAGAAAGAAAGAAAGAAAGCCCAGCCUCAGUGCCUUACCUGAGUACAAUCGGCUCCUCUGAUCGCCGCUUCUCGGAUGCCUCCAGCACUCACAAUCGGAACUGUGUCCAGGCUCUGAAUUACGGACUGCCAGGAAACCAGGCUAGCUACAGAAGAGUGAGAGGCCACAUGGAGGGGACCUGAAGUACCCCAGUGGACAGCGAGCAUUACAGCCAGAUGUGCAAGGAAGCCCACCUUGGUCUGUCCAGUCCAGCCACCUCUCUGGGGAAUGCAGCCCACAGGAAUCAGAUUUUGCACAAGAAACUUCUCAGAAACAGACGGAACGACAUCGACACAGCCAUGGCUUCCCUUCAGCCAGCCUGAACUGAGUAGAGAGCCUGGAUUCAUUCGCGCUACCAAAACUGAAGCCCAGGUUUGCCUAGAUCAACAACAGCCCUCAAGGCCAAAGUUGUGUCAAUGCUCAGGGGUCCGUCGUACCUGCAAAGAUGAGCUCUCCACGAAGGCAAGGGCAAAUGAGCACUACAAAAGUAUUAAUAGUUGCAAUUUCUCAGGCAUGUUUUUACUAAUCUUAUGAUCUCCUUCCUUCUAUGUUCUUUGAAUUUACUCUGUUUUGUCUAAUUUUUUAUCUAAUUUCUUAGCUCAUUGAUUUUUUCUUUAUUAAUAAAGCAAAGUCAUAAUUUUCUUUUCUAUAAAUACUACUUUAUCUACAUCCCAAAAGUUUUGAUAUACAGUGCUUCAUUGUGAUUUAUUUCUAAAACAUUUCUAGUUUCUUUGACCUACAAAUUAUGUAUUUAAUAUACAUUUUUAUAAAUAUAUAUGAAAUAUAUGAUGCAUUCAGGAAAGAGCAU